rnacentral:tRNA from 4 species
GCGAGAGUGGUGGAACGGCAGACACGCCAGACUUAGGAUCUGGUGCCUUUCGGCGUAAGGGUUCAAGUCCCUUCUCUCGCA